CCUCCGUAAGGGGACUGCGGAGGGAUCAUUACCGAGUUUACAACUCCCAAACCCCUGUGAACAUACCACUUGUUGCCUCGGCGGAUCAGCCCGCUCCCGGUAAAACGGGACGGCCCGCCAGAGGACCCCUAAACUCUGUUUCUAUAUGUAACUUCUGAGUAAAACCAUAAAUAAAUCAAAACUUUCAACAACGGAUCUCUUGGUUCUGGCAUCGAUGAAGAACGCAGCAAAAUGCGAUAAGUAAUGUGAAUUGCAGAAUUCAGUGAAUCAUCGAAUCUUUGAACGCACAUUGCGCCCGCCAGUAUUCUGGCGGGCAUGCCUGUUCGAGCGUCAUUUCAACCCUCAAGCACAGCUUGGUGUUGGGACUCGCGUUAAUUCGCGUUCCUCAAAUUGAUUGGCGGUCACGUCGAGCUUCCAUAGCGUAGUAGUAAAACCCUCGUUACUGGUAUCGUCGCGGCCACGCCGUUAAACCCCAACUUCUGAAUGUGACCUCGGAUCAGGUAGGAUGCCCGAGU
rnacentral:rRNA from 1 species